CAGAGACAGCGAUGGAACUGGGGAGGUGGCAGAUAGACUGACACCUGAUUUAUUUAUCUUUUUUCUUCCUUCGAAGCAUCAGAAACUGCCUAGAAUGCCCAUGCCACUACUCAGAGAAGCCUGCCCUCUUACUUGCUUUCUUCCCUUCUUUCCCUGUCUGAAUGGAAGCAUAUUUCCAUAGUGCCUGAUUAAGACCUAUAACCAGCCCAAAGGAGGAAGGUGCAGAAAGUGUUUUGUCUCAGCCAGGGAGCAAUCUCCUGAGCUGUGAAUGCACCAGGCAGUUACCAGCAAGGCCCGUCUUGUCUUUUCUCCAGCAGGGUGUUCAAAGGUCUAGGAUUUCUAUUUAUACACUAAGACCUGACAGCUUCUUUUAG
rnacentral:lncRNA from 1 species